rnacentral:rRNA from 1 species
CCUACGGGUGGCAGCAGUGGGGAAUAUUGGGCAAUGGGCGCAUGCCUGACCCAGCAACGCCGCGUGAAGGAAGAAGGCUUUCGGGUUGUAAACUUCUUUUGUCAGGGAAGAGUAGAAGACGGUACCUGACGAAUAAGCCACGGCUAACUACGUGCCAGCAGCCGCGGUAAUACGUAGGUGGCAAGCGUUGUCCGGAUUUACUGGGUGUAAAGGGCGUGUAGCCGGGUUGACAAGUCAGAUGUGAAAUCCUGCGGCUUAACCGGAGAACUGCAUUUGAAACUGUUGAUCUUGAGUACUGGAGAGGCAGAUGGAAUUCCUAGUGUAGCGGUGAAAUGCGUAGAGAUUAGGAGGAACACCAGUGGCGAAGGCGGUCUGCUGGACAGCAACUGACGGUGAGGCGCGAAAGCGUGGGGAGCAAACAGGAUUAGAUACCCCAGUAGUC